rnacentral:tRNA from 1 species
UAAAUAAUAUUAAAAUAUUAAUAAAAAAUAAUUAUAAUUUAAUUGAUAUAAAAUAUUAGUAUUUAUUUAUUAUAGUUUAUUAAUUAGAGUGGUACCAACCAUAAUGCAUAGCAUUAGGGGGGAUGUACCCUAACUCUCUAAUUAAUAAGUUAUUAAAUUAUUAAAUUAUAAUUUAAAUUUUAACUAUUUAAUUAUAGUUAUUAUAAAAUAUAUUAAAAAAUAUAUUUAUUUUA